UACGUAGGUGGCAAGCGUUGUCCGGAUUUAUUGGGCGUAAAGAGCUCGUAGGCGGUUCGGCAAGUCGGGUGUGAAAUUUCGAGGCUCAACCUCGAAACGCCACUCGAUACUGCUGUGACUGGAGUCCGGUAGAGGAGUGCGGAAUUCCUGGUGUAGCGGUGAAAUGCGCAGAUAUCAGGAGGAACACCAACGGCGAAGGCAGCACUCUGGGCCGGUACUGACGCUGAGGGAGCGAAAGCGUGGGGAGCAAACAG
rnacentral:rRNA from 1 species